GACGAACGCUGGCGGCGUGCUUAACACAUGCAAGUCGAACGGAAAGGCGCUGCGUUUGUGGGGUGCUCGAGUGGCGAACGGGUGUGUAACACGCGAGUAACCUGCCCCUGACUUUGGGAUAACUUCAGGAAACUGGGGCUAAUACCGCAUAGGAGCUCCUGCUGCAUGGUGGGGGUUGGAAAGUGUCGGCGGUUGUGGAUGGAAUCGCGGCUUAUGAGCUGGAUAGUGGGGUAGGGGCAUACCAAGGGUUUGACGGGUAGCCGGCCUGAGAGGGUGACCGGCCACAUUAGGACUGAGAUACGGCGCAGACUGCAACGGGAGACAGCAGUGGAGAAUAUUGCGCAGUGAGCGGACGCCUGAUGCAGAAGCGCCGCGUGCGUGAUGACGGCUUUCGAGUUGUGAACCGCUUUCUCAUGUAACAUAGCGUUCGUGACGGUAAUGGAUCAGAAAGCAACGGCUAACUACGUG
rnacentral:rRNA from 1 species